rnacentral:rRNA from 1 species
GACGAACGCUGGCGGCGUGCUUAACACAUGCAAGUCGAGCGGUAAGGCCCUUUCGGGGGUACACGAGCGGCGAACGGGUGAGUAACACGUGGGUGACCUGCCCUCAGCUCUGGGAUAAGCCUGGGAAACUGGGUCUAAUACCGGAUAUGACCCCAUGACGCAUGUCGUGGGGUGGAAAGCCUUGUGCGGCUGAGGAUGGGCCCGCGGCCUAUCAGCUUGUUGGUGGGGUGAUGGCCUACCAAGGCGACGACGGGUAGCCGGCCUGAGAGGGCGACCGGCCACACUGGGACUGAGACACGGCCCAGACUCCUACGGGAGGCAGCAGUGGGGAAUCUUGCGCAAUGGGCGAAAGCCUGACGCAGCGACGCCGCGUGAGGGAUGACGGCU